rnacentral:rRNA from 1 species
GAACGAACGCUGGCGGCAGGCUUAACACAUGCAAGUCGAGCGCCCCGCAAGGGGAGCGGCAGACGGGUGAGUAACGCGUGGGAAUCUACCCAUCUCUACGGAACAACUCCGGGAAACUGGAGCUAAUACCGUAUACGCCCUUCGGGGGAAAGAUUUAUCGGAGAUGGAUGAGCCCGCGUUGGAUUAGCUAGUUGGUGGGGUAAUGGCCUACCAAGGCGACGAUCCAUAGCUGGUCUGAGAGGAUGAUCAGCCACAUUGGGACUGAGACACGGCCCAAACUCCUACGGGAGGCAGCAGUGGGGAAUAUUGGACAAUGGGCGCAAGCCUGAUCCAGCCAUGCCGCGUGAGUGAUGAAGGCCCUAGGGUUGUAAAGCUCUUUCAACGGUGAAGAUAAUGACGGUAACCGUAGAAGAAGCCCCGGCUAACUUCGUGCCAGCAGCCGCGGUAAUACGAAGGGGGCUAGCGUUGUUCGGAAUUACUGGGCGUAAAGCGCACGUAGGCGGAUAUUUAAGUCAGGGGUGAAAUCCCGGGGCUCAACCCCGGAACUGCCUUUGAUACUGGGUAUCUCGAGUCCGAGAGAGGUGAGUGGAAUUCCGAGUGUAGAGGUGAAAUUCGUAGAUAUUCGGAGGAACACCAGUGGCGAAGGCGGCUCACUGGCUCGGUACUGACGCUGAGGU